GAUGAACGCUGGCGGCGUGCCUAAUACAUGCAAGUCGAGCGAACGGACGAGAAGCUUGCUUCUCUGAUGUUAGCGGCGGACGGGUGAGUAACACGUGGAUAACCUACCUAUAAGACUGGGAUAACUUCGGGAAACCGGAGCUAAUACCGGAUAAUAUUUUGAACCGCAUGGUUCAAAAGUGAAAGACGGUCUUGCUGUCACUUAUAGAUGGAUCCGCGCUGCAUUAGCUAGUUGGUAAGGUAACGGCUUACCAAGGCAACGAUGCAUAGCCGACCUGAGAGGGUGAUCGGCCACACUGGAACUGAGACACGGUCCAGACUCCUACGGGAGGCAGCAGUAGGGAAUCUUCCGCAAUGGGCGAAAGCCUGACGGAGCAACGCCGCGUGAGUGAUAAAGGUCUUCGGAUCGUAAAACUCUGUUAUUAGGGAAGAACAUAUGUGUAAGUAACUGUGCACAUCUUGACGGUACCUAAUCAGAAAGCCACGGCUAACUACGCG
rnacentral:rRNA from 1 species